GAGGGUAUAGCUCGGUGGUAGAACUUGUGCUUAGCAUGCAUGCAGUCCUGGGUUCAAUCCCCAGUGCCUCCA
rnacentral:tRNA from 1 species